rnacentral:lncRNA from 1 species
UCAAUCCUAGUCAAAUGCACACAAAUGCUCACAUUCACAAAUAAAUCAAGUUAUUGAACUCUAGUUAAAAAUAUAAAAUAAGUAAGGCAUAGAAAACAAUUAAGCAUCACAGAAGCAAGAAAAUGUCCACAGCUUCCCUCCCAUUCUUUCAUUCUUUGUUCGUAUGUAUUUGAAAGAGAUCGAAAGGCUGGAAGGAAGAUAGACAUGAGUUUUAGAUCUAGCGGCGGGGUAUCGAGUCUCAAAGCAUGACUCUUGUGACAAGCGAAAGUGUUUAUGAACAUUCCAUUUGUCCACAGCUUCCCUCCCAUUCUUUCAUUCUUUGUUCGUAUGUAUUUGAAAGAGAUCGAAAGGCUGGAAGGAAGAUAGACAUGAGUUUUAGAUCUAGCGGCGGGUAUCGAGUCUCAAAGCAUGACUCUUGUGACAAGCGAAAGUGUUUAUGAACAUUCCAUUCAUGCUCCCAAAGUGUACAUGUAAAAAGAAAAGGAAAAUAAAAAAAUUAAACAAAGUGAUUUAAUUCUUAACAAAUAUUUACAACAAAAUAAGCAAACAAAGUUGUAACAACACACUACAUUACGCUUUUGAUAACAUGAAACAAAGCAACUUUGUACCAUCCAUAACUAAAUGUAUUUGAAGAUGCACCAAAUCAUUUACUAAUUCGAAAUUGAUUUAAAAAGAGACAUCAAACUGUUAACAAAGCAGCCUUUUACUUUCUUACCAUACUAAAGAGAGGUUGUUAUAUCAUGAAAUGAAAAGAUGACUUUAACUAAACUACUGCAAACUUUUCAAGAAUCAAUAUUCAAUAUAGUCACAUUUAAAUCAAAAACUUAGCCAAAACAGAGAUAUUGAACUAAUUAACUAGCUUAGAUACGAUAUCUAAUCACAUACACAAUAUUAAACAAAACAAAUAAAUUGACAAGAACAACCCUUUAGCAAACAGAUUUCAACGAAUACUCAAGAGUUUAGAACUCCCUUUUUAUGAUUAAACAUAAGUAUGCACUGCAAUAAUAGUUUAAAUACGCAUGAUCCAUAAUAGUAUAUCUAAAAUUAAUACUAACUUUCAAACUAAAGCUAUUACAGAGAAGCAUGAGCUCAUGUAUUACUUAUAAAAUUUAAACAAAGAAAAUGGACUACUGUAACCUUCACGGUUCCCAUACUUCAAUAAAUUCUAACAUGAUUUUUAAACAGAUUAAGAACUUAAAUUAAGAAAAUAAAGGAAGAAAAGUUGAGGUUACCGUUUAUGGGGCAGUGAACAUGGGUCGUCGGCAAGGAUCUCCUCUCGUUCCUCCGACAAAGUCGAGCAAAUAGAGACUAGAGUAGUAGAUGAUGAUAUCAAAAUGUAGGAAGUAGUGUUCUUGUGAGUAUUCAAGUUUAUUGAGUGAUUUUUUAAGCCAGCCAGGAAGUCAUCCCCCUGAACUCCAUAAAAAUGAGAAACUUUAUAGAACAUUUUUGAUGUUCAAAGCUUUGUAUUUUGGGCGGGAUUUUUGGAUUUGAAUUUUGAAUAUUGGUCAAAUAGAGUUGUUGUGAAUCUGUCAUCUCUGCCAUAAAGAAUCAAAAUCCAAAAGUUCUUUGGCCUUUUGUGUUGACCAAAUUAAGAGGAGAGAUGAGAAUGAGGGAGGGGAAAGCAACGGUACAUAUCUUUUAGGAGAAAGAGGUGAAGUUACACCAAAAUGGAGUGACCAAUCUUUUAUGAUUUAAACAUUGAUGGAGUUUUAUCUAGAAGUAGAAAUGAUCGGGAGAAGAGAAGGACAACGUUGAUGAAUCUGGGUUAAAGAAUGGUGUCUAAUUAGUUUGAAGUGGGCUGUUGUGUUUGGGCUAGAAAUGGGCCAACGUGGGCUAGAAUUAAUGGGCUGCAUUUUGGAUAGCCUAAUUGGCCGAAAUAGCUUAACACUUUGGGCCUUUUUCUUCUUUGAAUUAAUUCAUUUGAGCUU